AAAUUGAAGAGUUUGAUCAUGGCUCAGAUUGAACGCUGGCGGCAGGCCUAACACAUGCAAGUCGAACGGUAACAGGAAGCAGCUUGCUGCUUCGCUGACGAGUGGCGGACGGGUGAGUAAUGUCUGGGAAACUGCCUGAUGGAGGGGGAUAACUACUGGAAACGGUGGCUAAUACCGCAUAACGUCGCAAGACCAAAGAGGGGGACCUUCGGGCCUCUUGCCAUCAGAUGUGCCCAGAUGGGA
rnacentral:rRNA from 12 species